rnacentral:rRNA from 1 species
GACGAACGCUGGCGGCGUGCUUAACACAUGCAUGUCGAACGGAAAGGCCCUGCUUGCCGGGUACUCGAGUGGCGAACGGGUGAGUAACACGUGGGUGAUCUGCCCUGCACUUCGGGAUAAGCUUGGGAAACUGGGUCUAAUACCGGAUAGGAGCCAUCUUUAGUGUGGUGGUUGGAAAGUUUUUUCGGUGUAGGAUGAGCUCGCGGCCUAUCAGCUUGUUGGUGGGGUAAUGGCCUACCAAGGCGGCGACGGGUAGCCGGCCUGAGAGGGUGUACGGCCACAUUGGGACUGAGAUACGGCCCAGACUCCUACGGGAGGCAGCAGUGGGGAAUAUUGCACAAUGGGCGCAAGCCUGAUGCAGCGACGCCGCGUGGGGGAUGAAGGCCUUCGGGUUGUAAACUCCUUUCGCUAGGGACGAAGCUUUGUUGUGACGGUACCUAGAGAAGAAGCACCGGCUAACUACGUG